rnacentral:rRNA from 1 species
GUGGGGAAUAUUGGACAAUGGGGGGAACCCUGAUCUAGCCAUGCCGCGUGUGUGAAGAAGGCCUUUUGGUUGUAAAGCACUUUAAGCGAGGAGGAGGCUACCGAGAUUAAUACUCUUGGAUAGUGGACGUUACUCGCAGAAUAAGCACCGGCUAACUCUGUGCCAGCAGCCGCGGUAAUACAGAGGGUGCAAGCGUUAAUCGGAUUUACUGGGCGUAAAGCGCGCGUAGGUGGCCAAUUAAGUCAAAUGUGAAAUCCCCGAGCUUAACUUGGGAAUUGCAUUCGAUACUGGUUGGCUAGAGUAUGGGAGAGGAUGGUAGAAUUCCAGGUGUAGCGGUGAAAUGCGUAGAGAUCUGGAGGAAUACCGAUGGCGAAGGCAGCCAUCUGGCCUAAUACUGACACUGAGGUGCGAAAGCAUGGGGAGCAAACAGGAUUAGAAACCCCAGUAGUCC